AUGGACCUGGCCCCAGGAAAGGAGCUGGAGAGUAAGAUCAUGAAUGCAUAUCUGUCCAUUGUGGGGAAAAGAACGGGGGCAUUUAUAAUUGACGCCUACACAAUGACCGAAGUCUGGCAAGGCUCUCAGAAAUGUUUCAGAAGGCUUGACCUUUUAAAACAUGAUGUGGCAGCUGGGGCAGUUUGCCACCACGGUCACUGGACCCUCAUUAUCUUGUAUCUAAAGGAGAAACGGUCCUUGUUCUUGGACCCUUUUGGGGCCACUGGACAACAAAUAAAGCACUGCAGAGAUGUUACAAGAGCACUGGUCCGCAGAUAUUGUCCUGCCAUUGGGAAGUGGGAGUGCUCAACAAUGGCACAUCCCAAACAGCAGGACACAACAUCCUGUGGCAUAUUUGUGUGCAAGGUAACAAUGACAUCUUUGUGGCUAUCCAUCUUUUUUAAAGUUCUCAUUAUACUUAUCAGACAAUUUUUAGCUUGCAGAGCAAAUAUUGCAGCAGAAGCCUGUCUACUUCCCUGUGGACCAGGAAGGUGUGGCUGCAUUGAGGCUGGAAAUGGCAUUGUGCUUGCUGAAGGACACUGGUAUGCAGUAGUCUACCAGCUAUACUUGUUGUGUCUGUACUGGAAUAAAAUACAUUAGGUUUUUUAUUUUUUUUUAUUUUAAAUAGAUGACCUGUCUGAGCUGUGUCGGGCUUGUGGGGAGGAGAGCUCUGGGGCCGAAACGGAUGAAUGGGUAAGAAGUGUAAUUCAACUGCAGACUGAUGUUUGGCUGGAAAACUGAGAUCCAUCUUGGAUGGAUUACCUCAACAUCACUGGGUGAACUCUUUCAAUUAGAUAUUGAAAAUGUAUAGUUGUAAAUCAUGGAACUUGCAUGUCUCUGCACUUUCUGAGGACACUGGUGCCACUGAUGGAAGAUCACACCGACUCUACACAGGACCACAGCUAAGAUUUAAACCAAAAUCUGACAUUGUAACAUAACUUUAAAACCUUAUGUCUGAAGAUUAAACUGCAAUCAUUCACUGAAUAAGUGACAUGAACCUCAACGUUCACAGGAAUCUAACUAUCUGUUUUCUUUCUUUUCAGAUUGAGUGUACCAGCUGCCAAUUUUGGUACCACAUAGUAUGUGUUGGCCAUCCCUCCACAAAGGGGAAUUAUUCUUGUAAAGCAUGUGGUUCCUAUAGUAUCUAAAAGUAGAACAGGAGCCAGAGCCUUCAGUUACCAAGCUCCUCUCCUGUGGAACCAGCUUCCAGUUGUGGUUCAGAAGGCAGACACCCUCACCACAUUCAAGAGUAGGCUUAAGACAUCGAGACAGACGACCACCCACCUAGAGCCGAAGGAUCUGUCCUAGGUUUCUGCCUUUUAACAGGCAGUUUUUCCUUGCCCUUGUCGCCAAGUGCUUGCUCAUGGUGGUACUGUUGGGUCUCUGUAAUGUUAUUAAGAGUUCAGUCUAGACCUGCUCUAUUUGAAAAGUGUCCUGAGAUAACUUCUGUUAUGAAUUGGCGCUAUACAAAUAAAAUUGAAGGUUAAAAAAUAAAAAAAAUCCUUGCUUACAAAUCAUUUCUUUCCUUCAGUCACAAAUGGGUCAAUUUAGCUGCUAUGUAAGACUUGCAUUGUAUAUUGAACUGGAGUUUGUCCACCAUGAUCACAUGUGGGUACAUUUGUUUUCUACACCAGAGCUGGUAUGUUGCUUAAGUAGCCUAAGGAUUUGAUUUUUGGUGGGUUUNNNNNNNNNNNNNNNNNNNNCGGUCUCGGCAUUCCUGCUGAACCGCUCUUCCGAUCUAGGAGAAACUCAAAGUAUUGAUUUUUUGUAAAAUUUCCUCUGAGUUCGACAAAUAAAAAUAAAAAUAUCACCAGUCCAGUCUAGUUCUCUCCUCCCUGUGAGGAGGAGUCAAUGCAAAACUCAGAUGUCUUCCACCUCUACUUAUCUGACUGCAGAGAGGAUGACAGAGAACAGUGGACACACAGUUUAACAUGAUGGACUAUAGGACAGGACUGCUGCUGUUAACUAUCUGCUGGGCAGGUGAACAUCUUCACUGAACUUUAGUUGACAUAUUUUCAUUUUGUGCUGCCAAUGUAACACAUGACAUGAAUAGCUUUCUUUGUUUGACAGGUGUUGAUGGUCAGACUCUGACAGAAUCUGAACCAGUGGUUAAAAGGCCUGGAGAAUCUCACAGAUUGACCUGUACAGGCUCUGGAUUCACAUUCAGCAGCUACUAUAUGCACUGGGUCAGACAGGCUUCUCCUUGCCUGGGUUGAAUAUGAUAAUGACAGAAACGCUACUCCCAGUCAGUUCAAGGCCGGUUUACCAUCUCCAGAGACAACAGCAGACAGCAGGUGUAUCUGCAGAUGAACAGUCUGAACACUGAAGAUUCUUCUGUUUAUUAUUGUGCUCGAGACUCACAGUGACUGGAGUUGGCUGAGCAGCUAUACAAAACCCUACAGUACUAAUCUUGAAGUACUUUUGUAUUAAUAUUAUAUGUUGAUAUUUUUUAUAUUCAGUGUUUUAAUAUAUUUUUAUUAUAUGAAUUGACAAUUGUCCCUGCAUUAUACAAAGUCCAGAAAAGUGUUACUUAUAUUUAAUUACUGAAUAUUAAAUGCAUCCAAAAUACACAAUACAUCACUUGUUGAUAUUACGGACAACAACAGCAAAUCAAGACUCAAUAAUGUCAGUAAAUCACGUGGAACAUAAAGUGAGUCAGAAUAUGAGAGUGAAAAUAAUGUUGAGUUUCUUAAAAUCACAAGAGGGCAACUUUCUCUCUCCUCUGAUACUAAAAGGAGACACUCAGAUCUGGUAAAGACCUGAAGAUGAACAGCAGGAAGCCUGAAGGAGCUGCUGUGUGUUCUUGUUCUUGUGAGACUGAUUGAAGAUGGAUGAACAACUAAUCCUGCAGUAACAAACAUUUUCUGGGAUUUUUUCAGCAAAAACUCUCUUUUCUCAUCCUCAGUGGGCUGAUAGACCCUGCACUGUCUCACAGGAUUAAUGUCCUCAGGUCCAGUAAUUCAAAUGAUACAACACACACAUAUUUUAUUACCACUGAUGUCUGAAUGGAUUUAAAGUCAUAUUUCAUUAGAAAUAAUUUGAUACAAUAAAACAGGAAAUAUAUUUUAGUUAUUUAGCUGUUCCUGGUCACUAAUAAAUAAAUACAAAAUAAAUACAAUAAAUAACAAUAAUAUAUUAAACAAUAAUAGUAAACCCAGAACACGAAAAUUUGAUGAGGACUUAUUUCUGACACAACCACACACAGAUGAAGGUAAAUGUGUUAAUAAUUAGCCUUCAACAGGUUACUUGUGAACUACCUUAGUUUUCAUCGAAGCUAAAUAAUUUAGUUUUUUGCAUUUUGUCACACAGGUUUCAGUUCCUGAGCAGCUGUAUUCCCCUCAAGGCUUUCCAAGUAUUUUAUGCAAACCUGAAAACCACCAGCAUCAGACUAUUUACAUGAUCCUGGCUGCUGCUAUUUCUGUUUGCAGCAAAUACAGUCAGCAAGUACACUGUAAAAAAAGAUUAGUUGACUCAACUUAACUAAGUCAAGUCAUCUUGUUGCUUUGACUGAGUUAAUUUGAGUCAACUUAUAGUGUCAAGUUUAUUACACUUCAAAACACAAGUUGAUGCAACAUGCAAUCUGUUGACUCAACUUCCUGUAUCAAGUAAGUUGGACUUGAAAAUAUUUUUUAAGAUAACUUUAAGAGAUGUUGGUUGAAUUUAUUUUAUCAAGUUCCUACAACUGUGAAUCAAGUUGGCUCAACAUGGAAUACAUAAUUGAUACAACUCACGAUUUGUUGACUCAAUUUUCUGUAUCAAGUAAUGUGGACUGGAAAACAUUACUUAAGAGAAAUAAAAAAGAUGUUGGUUGAACUUAUUUUAUCAAGUUAGGGAAACAUUAUUUUUUUCUCAUGCUCUAUUACUUGAGUUUACAGAAAUUAGCCAGUCAAACUUAAAUGUUAACACAUGAAAAAAAUAGCUGAAAAGACAAUUCAAUAAGGACCUUUAUUAAAACCCCAACAAGUCCAACUUCAACCAGCCUUGCUUCAAAAUAAUAGUCAAUGGAUGUCGAGACGCAAAAAAAUAAAAAUAAAAUCUUCCUUGGGACAUGUUAAAAUAAAUAGCCUUUUCACCCUCUAACACACUUUUGCUUGGGGCUGCUCACAAACUGAAAUUACACUGUCCCACACAUAAAUAAUAAUAUAAUACAUAAAAAGAAGAGCACCCUUCCUUUGGGGAAAAACAAUAACUCUCCGAGUUCAACUGAGUCCAUUCUGAGUGAAUGUUCAGAGUUGCUGCAGUAAAUUGCAGAAAGAAAUUCAUAAAAAACUAAAAAAACGUAUCUGAGAAACUUGAUCAAAAUGUUGAAAAUGAAAACAUUAAAACAUUACUGAAAUGUCCACUCUCUUGACAAUUUCUCUGUAACAUCACAUGGAUUAGUGUUCCUCCAAACAGAGCAAUAGAAAUGAGUCAGAAUAUGAAAACAAGGUUGUGUGAUCAACAGAAGGGCAAUACAUUUCAUCUCCUCUUACUAAAUAGUGUAAAAAAUGAGAAUUCUUCCUCUGGG
rnacentral:lncRNA from 15 species